CAUUAGCCCAGAUUGAAAUGAAAAGCCUUUUGUGAAAAAAGCCAUAUUUUUUUGCAGGUACAGAGCGACCAGCGGAAGCUCCUGGAACUGCUUAAAAAAUAGGCAUUUUGAACAAAAGCUUGAAAUGGAAAGCUGGAUCAGCU
rnacentral:sRNA from 1 species